CCCCUCAGCCUGGUCUAUUCUCUAAGUGGAGUCAGCUGUUUGAGCGCGCUUUUAAUUCUCUCUGGCAGUGAUUGAUCUGCUGCGCGUUGGACGCAACCUUGAGCCGACAAAGCACCAGCGGAUUGCUAGCCCGCAUGCAUUCUCACUCUUCCAGAGGCACGAACCUUUCUGACAUUCCUGUGCAUUCUUCAUGACACAUGAGCACUAGCUACAUAAAGGAUCCAGUGGGUAGCUAAGCAUCCUGAAGAUGCUUAAAUGAUUUUAAAAAAGGCUGACACUGUGUUUGUACAGUAUUCAAAACCGGCAUAAUAUAUUCAAAAAUAGUGCAAAGUACUAUAUACAAAAAAACAAGUCAAAUUAGACCAUGAUAUGCCUGUGUCUAACUUAGCAUGUGGGAUUUGCAUACUGUAAGUAGACUCUUCUGGAAAGGUUCUAACAGCAGAAUCAAAAAAAAAAAAAAAAACAGUAGGUUGGCAAUAACACACCAAUUUGCAUUCAUGUACAUUCAUGACAAGACCUAUUUAAUUACAGAAGACAGUCUGCUUGAGGGAAUAUGCAAAGAAAUUAGAGCAGUUGGUGUGUGCUGAAACUGCAGACGCUUGCCAAGGUGCUAGAUGGCUAUUUACUCUCCCCCUGUCUCUCCUCACGACACAACUUGAUGAUUCUGAGUGGAGAAGUGAAAGCUCUAUACAGGAUCAAACCUCGAGUGAGCAGCUAAGUGUCAAAUUCUUAUCAAGGGUUAUAGCACAAUUAAUUCCUUUGGCUGAGUAGCCAGUAGCUGGGUAUCAUUCCUUAGCUUCAGGGUAUGUAAGAUCAAGCUUAAGGUCAGUGGUGU